GACGGGUGAGUAAUGCUUAGGAAUCUGCCUAUUAGUGGGGGACAACAUCUCGAAAGGGAUGCUAAUACCGCAUACGUCCUACGGGAGAAAGCAGGGGAUCUUCGGACCUUGCGCUAAUAGAUGAGCCUAAGUCGGAUUAGCUAGUUGGUGGGGUAAAGGCCUACCAAGGCGACGAUCUGUAGCGGGUCUGAGAGGAUGAUCCGCCACACUGGGACUGAGACACGGCCCAGACUCCUACGGGAGGCAGCAGUGGGGAAUAUUGGACA
rnacentral:rRNA from 1 species